GCUAAACGCGAAGAACCUUACCUGGGUUUGACAUGUAGAGAAAAGCCAUAGAGAUAUGGUGUCCUUCGGGUUCGUACACAGGUGGUGCAUGGUUGUCGUCAGCUCGUGUCGUGAGAUGUUGGGUUAAGUCCGCAACGAGCGCAACCCUUCGUCCUAUGUUGCCAGCACGUCAUGGUGGGGACGUCGUAGGAGACUGCCGGGGUCGAACUCGGAGGAAGGUGGGGACGGACGUCAAAUCAUCAUGCCCCUUAUAUCCAGGGCUGCAAACAUGCUACAAUGGCCGGUACAAAGGGCUGCGAAACCGCGAGGUGGAGCGAAUCCCAUAAAGCCGGUCUCAGUUCGGAUUGGAGUCUGCAACUCGACUCCAUGAAGCUGGAGUUGCUAGUAAUCCCGGAUCAGCAACGCCGGGGUGAAUACGUUCCCGGGUCUUGUACACACCG
rnacentral:rRNA from 1 species